GAUCCUGGGCUCAGGAUGAACGCUGGCGGCGUGCUUAACACAUGCAAGUCGAACGAAGCACUUUAAUUGAUUUCUUCGGAAUGAAGUUUUUGUGACUGAGUGGCGGACGGGUGAGUAACGCGUGGGUAACCUGCCUCAUACAGGGGGAUAACAGUUGGAAACGACUGCUAAUACCGCAUAAGCGCACAGGAUUGCAUGAUCCAGUGUGAAAAACUCCGGUGGUAUGAGAUGGACCCGCGU
rnacentral:rRNA from 1 species